GGGAAUAUUGCGCAAUGGACGAAAGUCUGACGCAGCCACGCCGCGUGAGUGAGGAAGGCCUUCGGGUUGUAAAGCUCUGUCGCCUGGGAAAAACGGCUAUUGGGGGAAAGUUCCAGUAGCGUGAUGGUAACAGGAAAGGAAGCACCGGCAAACUCUGUGCCAGCAGCCGCGGUAAUACGUAGGGGGCGAGCGUUGUCCGGAAUCAUUGGGCGUAAAGAGCUCGUAGGCGGCUCAGUAAGUCGGCUGUGAAAUCCCAGGGCUCAACCCUGGAACUGCAGUCGAUACUGCUGUGGCUAGAGUUUGGUAGAGGAGAAUGGAAUUCCCGGUGUAGCGGUGGAAUGCGCAGAUAUCGGGAGGAACACCAGUAGCGAAGGCGGUUCUCUGGGCCAAUACUGACGCUGAGGAGCGAAAGCGUGGGGAGCAAA
rnacentral:rRNA from 1 species